UGUUAGGCUUGGCCGGGGAGCUUGGCGUGCCCUACACCUGCAAACGUCAUAGCAGGGGUGACAGUGGGGGGCGGCAGAGCUGAAACGGCGGGCCCGCGUAGCGACAAUGAGACUUUGUCCUGUAGAGUCGGAGUAUGCCGAGCGUUGUUCCGGAGGGAGCAUCGGGCGGCACCAAUCGGGGGGAACGGGUCAGGCCCUGACGGGAGCAGCCUUACCUUGAACUACUGACGUUUAUGGGUUAGCAGGGUUGAGGAGCGAUGCGGUAAACCCGUUUGCGGAUGCGAUGUCCACCUUCAUGUGCCUAACA
rfam:Methanogenic archaeon ISO4-H5 chromosome, complete genome.